UCCUCCCUCUUUCUUCGUGCUUAACACAUGCAAGUCGAACGGAAAGGCCCUGCUUUUGUGGGGUGCUCGAGUGGCGAACGGGUGAGUAACACGUGAGUAACCUGCCCUUGACUUUGGGAUAACUUCAGGAAACUGGGGCUAAUACCGGAUAGGAGCUCCUGCUGCAUGGUGGGGGUUGGAAAGUUUCGGCGGUUGGGGAUGGACUCGCGGCUUAUCAGCUUGUUGGUGGGGUAGUGGCUUACCAAGGCUUUGCCGGGUAGCCGGCCUGAGAGGGUGACCGGCCACAUUGGGACUGAGAGACGGCCCAGACUCCUACGGGAGGCAGCAGUGGGGAAUAUUGCACAAUGGGCGGAAGCCUGAUGCAGCAACGCCGCGUGCGGGAUGACGGCCUUCGGGUUGUAAACCGCUUUCGCCUGUGACGAAGCGUGAGUGACGGUAAUGGGUAAAGAAGCACCGGCUAACUACGU
rnacentral:rRNA from 1 species